rnacentral:rRNA from 1 species
AGAGUGAACGCUGGCGGCAGGCCUAACACAUGCAAGUCGAGCGGCAGCACAGUCGUAGCAAUACGAUGGGUGGCGAGCGGCGGACGGGUGAGGAAUGCAUCGGAAUCUACCUUGUUGUGGGGGAUAACGUAGGGAAACUUACGCUAAUACCGCAUGAGACCGUAAGGUGAAAGCGGGGGACCUGUGAGGGCCUCGCGCGACAAGAUGAGCCGAUGCCGGAUUAGCUAGUUGGUGGGUAAAGCCCAACAAGGCGACGAUCCGUAGCUGGUCUGAGAGGAUGAUCAGCCACACGUGGAACUGAGACACGGUCCAGACUCCGUACGGGAGCAGCGAGGUGGGAAUACGUUGGACAAGU